rnacentral:misc_RNA from 1 species
UCCGGCUUAGCACCGGCAGUCCCACUAGAGUGCCAAACUUAAUUGGGGCAACUAGUAGCAAGGGUUGCGCUCGUUGCGUCACUUAAGACAACAUCUCACGACACGAGCUGACGACAGCCAUGCAGCACCUGUGUUCAGGUUCCCGAAGGCACAACCUAAUCUCUUAGGUCUUCCUGACAUGUCAAGAGCAGGUAAGGUUCUUCGCGUUGCAUCGAAUUAAUCCACAUCAUCCACCGCUUGUGCGGGUCCCCGUCAAUUCCUUUGAGUUUUAAUCUUGCGACCGUACUCCCCAGGCGGUUUACUUCUCGCGUUAGCUUCGCUACUAAGAUUGCUCCCAACAGCAAGUAAACAUCGUUUAGGGCGUGGACUAC